UCCCGGCCUCUGGGAGUGGCGGCGCGCAUGCGCAGCCCUCGGGCCGGCCCGGGCGCACCUUUUCUGCCUCCUGCCACAUUGUGAGCGCUCCGCCGCCCAGAUAACCGCCGGCUCCCCGCGCGCCACCCCCGCCCUUUCCCACUCCGCCCACUCCCGGCGCCCAGGGGAUGAUGCGUCAAGAAGACCCACACCAGAUGAGGGUACCUUGAUAUUGGAUUUCCCAGCCUCCAGAACUUGAUCCUACACUCUGCCAUUCCCAGCCCAACCCAUCUGGGUUCCCAAGAACUGCAGUCCAGCCACCGGCUCGUCCACCACCCAGGUUCCAUGGGAAGAUUCAGCUCCAAGACCUAAGCCAGCAGCAGGAAGGAAGAGAGGACCAAGGUAAUGAAGGACAAAUGAACCAUUGCAGCCACGCUCUGGAAUACAAGCAUCCUUUGUUCUUAGAGGAUUGGAGAGUUUAAUAGGCAAGAAAGAAGGGAGAAGAAAGAAGGAAGAAGCUCCCCUGUACAGAGACAGAGGGACGGCGUCUCCAAAGUCGAGAGGGGAGACCUCAAGAGAUGAGGUCUUGCUGUGCUGCCCAGGCUGGUCUCAAACUCUUGACUUCAAAUGAUCCUGCUGCUUUGGCCUCCCAAAAUGUUGAGAUUGCAGGCAUGAGCCAUCGCGCCUGGCCCAAACGCACAUCUUUCUAGUUCUGGAACCUGCACUAGUUCCACUAAACUGCCUUCUGGAGUGAGAACCCUGGGAAGUUCAGCCCAGCACAGUUUCACAGUG